rnacentral:misc_RNA from 1 species
GAAAUGCGAUAAGUAAUGUGAAUUGCAGAAUUCAGUGAAUCAUCGAAUCUUUGAACGCACAUUGCGCUCGCCAGUAUUCUGGCGAGCAUGCCUGUUCGAGCGUCAUUUCAACCAUCAAGCUCUGCUUGCGUUGGGGAUCCGCGGCUGCCCGCGGUCCCUCAAAAACAGUGGCGGGCUCGCUAGUCACACCGAGCGUAGUAACUCUACAUCGCUAUGGUCGUGCGGCGGGUUCUUGCCGUAAAACCCCCAAUUUCUAAGGUUGACCUCGGAUCAGCUAGGAAUACCCGCUGAACUUAAGC